rnacentral:rRNA from 1 species
GUGGGGAAUCUUCCGCAAUGGACGAAAGUCUGACGGAGCAACGCCGCGUGAGUGAAGAAGGUUUUCGGACUGUAAAGCUCUGUUGUUUAGGACGAAAGUGCCUGUUGCAAAUAGUUACAGGUAUUGACGGUACUGAACGAGGAAGCCACGGCUAACUACGUGCCAGCAGCCGCGGUAAUACGUAGGUGGCAAGCGUUGUCCGGAAUUAUUGGGCGUAAAGAGCAUGUAGGCGGGAAUCUAAGUCUGUUGUGAAAAUGCGGGGCUCAACCCCGUAUUGCGAUGGAAACUGGGUUUCUUGAGUGCAGGAGAGGAAAGGGGAAUUCCCAGUGUAGCGGUGAAAUGCGUAGAUAUUGGGAGGAACACCAGUGGCGAAGGCGCCUUUCUGGACUGUGUCUGACGCUGAGAUGCGAAAGCCAGGGUAGCGAACGGGAUUAGAAACCCUGGUAGUCC